GAAUAAUAAAAAAAGAACACUCAACGACGGCACUGCAGUCACAGUACCGUCAGCCUGGAGAUACCUACUUGAAAGAAAAUGAAAAUCUGGAAUGUGCUAAACCUAUACUAAACUCUGUGAAAUAGGAACCCAUAAUAAUCUAAUGAGAGUAUGAACCCAAUCGUACUAAUGGUGGAAUGAAUACUGGAGUGAUUGACCCUAAAUGGAUACGACGGGACAAGCAGAAACUAGAACAUGGCAGUUUCCAAGCGAACAAAACGCACCUGAACUUUAUUUUUUUAGUGUUUCGACAUUUUUAUUUUUAGUUUUCACAUUAUAUAUUUUAUUUUUCUGUUUUUUAUGUUUAUUUGUAAUUCACUUAUCAUAUAUAUAUUGUAUUUGUAUUUAUGCAUUCUAUUCUGGAACCACUUAGUGUUAUCGUCUAGA
rnacentral:lncRNA from 1 species